rnacentral:rRNA from 1 species
CCUACGGGAGGCAGCAGUGAGGAAUAUUGGUCAAUGAACGAGAGUCUGAACCAGCCAAGUAGCGUGAAGGAUGACUGCCCUAUGGGUUGUAAACUUCUUUUAUAAAGGAAUAAAACGAGGCACGUGUGCCUUUUUGCAUGUACUUUAUGAAUAAGGAUCGGCUAACUCCGUGCCAGCAGCCGCGGUAAUACGGAGGAUCCGAGCGUUAUCCGGAUUUAUUGGGUUUAAAGGGAGCGUAGAUGGGUUGUUAAGUCAGUUGUGAAAGUUUGCGGCUCAACCGUAAAAUUGCAAUUGAUACUGGCAGUCUUGAGUACAGUUGAGGUAGGCGGAAUUCGUGGUGUAGCAGUGAAAUGCUUAGAUAUCACGAAGAACCCCGAUUGCGAAGGCAGCUUACUAAACUGUGACUGACAUUGAUGCUCGAAAGUGUGGGUAUCAAACGGGAUUAGAUACCCUUGUAGUC